rnacentral:rRNA from 1 species
GACGAACGCUGGCGGCGUGCUUAACACAUGCAAGUCGAACGGAAAGGCCCUGCGUUUGUGGGGUGCUCGAGUGGCGAACGGGGGAGUAACACGCGAGUAACCUGCCCUUGACUGUGGGAGAACUUCAGGGAACUGGGGCGAAUACCGGAUAGGAGCUCCUGCUGCACGGGGGGGGUUGGAAAGUUUCGGCGGUGGGGGAUGGAAUCGCUGCUUAUCAGCUUGUUGGGGGGGUAGGGGCUUACCAAGGCUAUGACGGGUAGCCGGCCUGAGAGGGUUACCGGCCACCUUGGGCCUGCGAUACGGCCCAGUCUCCUACGGGACGCAGCAGUGGGAAAUCUUGCGCAAUGGGCGGACGCCUGAUGCAGCAACGCCGCGUGCGGGAUACCGGCCUUCGGGUUGUAAACCGCUUUCGCCUGUGCCGAAGCGUGCGUGACGGUAAUGGGUAAAGAAGCCCCGGCUAACUACGUG